CAUGCACGGGUGGGGUCCUUCAGCCUAGCCUGUACCUUCUUGCAAUCCAGGACCCCUCAGGGGAUGUCCGCAGGCCAGGCUGAGGGACCCCACCGGUGCACA
rnacentral:pre_miRNA from 1 species